UUCAUCCUGAUGUGUUCGUCUAUUAAAAGUAUUUUGACCGAACAACUGUAAAAAUGGGAGUCUAAUUGGUUUUUAAUGUGCGUGCAAGCCUAAAUUUGUAGGAGGCACAAUAUCUUUAAAACAGGACACCCACCUGCUGAUAGCGGGAUCAAAGCUUGAAAUAAGACGGCACAAUCGGGAUUGAG
rnacentral:other from 3 species